UUCAUUUUUAUGAGGGCCUGUGAAAAAUGAAAGAAGCAAUCUGAUUGGUUGCUAUGGGCAACUGGGCAAGUUUUCCUCUGCACAGGUUUUGAUAAAUCUCCCCCCAUAGAGAUCAUUCCCAGUAUGAGAUUUAUUCCCCUGCAGUCCAUACAUCCCCAGCCCAUGCACCCUGUCAUCCUCCCCUUCAGAUAAGACUUAUCUUCUCUGUGAGGUCCUUCUCCUGUGCAGACCUGCGUCCUUAGAACACAAAGCAGGGGGGAGGGGAGGUGAGGAGCUGUGUACUCAGCUGGAUGAGAUGAGGGGGCGUGGCUUAUUCCUCUCAUGCAGACAGAGAGAAAAAAAAAGCUGUGACAUCUUGUUCACAACAGACUCAGAACUGUGGACAACAGUAAAAGAAAACACUCGGAACUACAGAACUUCCUGCCCAACAAACAAUGUAAAUAGGGCUAAAGGUAAAGCCAGAUGUGUCCAAGGAUCUGCAACAAAUUUUCAUCAGACCGUACCCAACAAAGUUUAAAGGAAUGAGAAGACCAUAUGAUGGCACAAUGACACAGCCUGGAGGUGGCAGCAGCAUGAGAAGACCAUAAUGUGGCAGAAUGACACAGCCUGGAAUUGGCGGCAGCAAAAGGAGACCAUAUAGUGGCAGAAUGACCCAACCUGGAUGUGGCAAUAACCUGACGAGACCACAGGGCCUCACAAUUGAAAACAUUACAGAUAUAUAUAUAUAUUUUUUUGUUUAAAUUCAAGAUUUCAAAUAGAUGAACCUAAAAAGUUUCAUUUAAUGUGCCAGCAGCAUGAGGAGACCAUAUGGCGGCACAAUGAGAAAGCCUGGAGGUGGCAUGAGGGCCAUGCCAACUGAGGGUUGAGUCUAAGUAACCCACCUACUGUUGACUGGGGGUGUCGGAUGUCACUUGGGAUUAAGUGAAUGGCCGAGUGAACCAAUCAAUCACGGCUGCUGGGUUGCUGGUCGAGACACGACUGCUAGCUGAUUCAGACCUCUCGCUGCGACUCCUGCUGCCACACACCCCUACUCUGCUGCAACCUCUGCCUGUUCCUGAUGAAUUUAUGCC